rnacentral:lncRNA from 1 species
AGGGGGAAGAUAAGGGAAAAGACCUGUGAAUCUUUACAGCUGAGCCUAAUAACAGAACAGCUGUACUUAUUUAUUUAUUUGUUUGUUCAUUUAUUCAACAAAGGAUAUGGGAACAGGUAUAUUGGAGAGGUUGCUGGGGAGUAUUUUUCUUUCUUUUUUUUCCCCAGUGGUUUAGAUAUAGCAUAAAGAUGAAGUUUGAGUCAGGAGAUAUUUCUGAAAUAAUAAUAAUAGCUGUCUUCUAGAAAACCUGUUUCCUUCUGUGCUGAGUUUUUCCUUCAGACUAAGGAGCUUAACUGUAGGAGAGGGAAGGUGCUUUCAAAAGCAGAACUUACGCAACAUCAGGGUUUGUCACUUCUAUUCAAGAGCAAUGGGAGUUCUGGAUGUCUUAUAAAGUACGAGAGCACCUUCAGAAUUGACUACAGUGGAUGGAAGUUGCUGCUUAUGUGGUGAAUGUGAAGAACUGGCUGCUCAAAUACAUCAGAGAAGUGUGGACCCCACAAAAUACUGCUUAUGGACAUGACAGAGAUGGAAUGAGAAGAAAUUAUCCCCUGAUGUGCUUGAGAGAAGGAAGGAUAAUGAAGAUUGGCCUCUCAGUGGCUUCAGCCAACUCCUUUAGCACUCAUGGUUGCACCCGUGUCAUCAUGUUGGAGUAAACCAGGAGCAGCUCUGCUGAAACUUGUGAGCUGAGGUGCUCUGUAUUUGAACUGUCAAAGAACUAUGAUACUGUCACACCUAAAACCUUCAAUGAGAAGCAAGAACUAGAACACUGUCAAAUUAAUGGAUUUCCUGGAGCAAAAUCAAGGUCAGUUUGUUGCCCCCUGGGGUUUUAUUGUCUCUUUUGCCUCAGGAGAACAGCACUGUAGCAAACAGCAGUUUUGCUUCCUUCAUUACAGAACUGUCUUUUUUCCACACUUCAGAGAUAUUCACAAUCAGUAAUGAAAAGAAAGAAAUGCUUAGUUCUCAGCACCACAAAGUUCCUUUCAUUUCUUGCCAUUUUUCUGUAAAGAUCUUAACACUCAGAAUAAAAGAGUGUCUGUCAUAACUAUCA